UAGCUCUGGUGUCUCUUAAGUCACGUAUAAAUCUUUCGCCCUUUAUUAAAGCUCAUUGUAGAGAGAAACAUCAAUGAGCUUGAUGUAUUUUUAUGAGGUUUGCUCUAACCAAGCUU